GGCCAGACUCCUACGGGAGGCAGCAGUGGGGAAUAUUGCACAAUGGGGGAAACCCUGAUGCAGCGACGCCGCGUGAGUGAAGAAGUAUUUCGGUAUGUAAAGCUCUAUCAGCAGGGAAGAAAAUGACGGUACCUGACUAAGAAGCCCCGGCUAACUACGUGCCAGCAGCCGCGGUAAUACGUAGGGGGCAAGCGUUAUCCGGAUUUACUGGGUGUAAAGGGAGCGUAGACGGCAUGGCAAGUCAGAUGUGAAAGCCCGGGGCUCAACCCCGGGACUGCAUUUGAAACUGUCGGGCUGGAGUGCAGGAGAGGUAAGUGGAAUUCCUAGUGUAGCGGUGAAAUGCGUAGAUAUUAGGAGGAACACCAGUGGCGAAGGCGGCUUACUGGACUGUAACUGACGUUGAGGCUCGAAAGCGUGGGGAGCAAACAGGAUUAGAUACCCCAGUAAG
rnacentral:rRNA from 1 species